CCUUGCCAGCCCGCUCAGAAACUCAAAGGAAUUGACGGGGCCCGCACAAGCGGAGGAGCAUGUGGUUUAAUUCGAUGAUACGCGAGGAACCUUACCUGGGCUCGAACGUAAGAUGACUGUAGGUGAAAGCUUACAUCUCUUCGGAGCAUUUUACGAGGUGCUGCAUGGUUGUCGUCAGCUCGUGCCGUGAGGUGUCGGGUUAAGUCCCAUAACGAGCGCAACCCCUACCUUUAGUUGCCAUCAGGUAAUGCUGGGGACUCUAAAGGAACUGCCUACGCAAGUAGUGAGGAAGGCGGGGAUGACGUCAAAUCAGCACGGCCCUUACGUCCAGGGCUACACACGUGCUACAAUGGCCGAUACAGAGGGCAGCUACCUGGUGACAGGAUGCAAAUCUCCAAAGUCGGUCUCAGUUCGGAUCGGAGUCUGCAACCCGACUCCGUGAAGUUGGAUUCGCUAGUAAUCGCGCAUCAGCCAUGGCGCGGUGAAUACGUUCCCGGGCCUU
rnacentral:rRNA from 1 species